rnacentral:lncRNA from 1 species
CCUGCAUUUCUCAAAUGGUGAGGCUAGUUUCAAUCAUUGAAUUGUUAAAUUGUGGUGAUCAUUUGGAAAAUGAGUUCGUUCACGCAAAAUUUUGCUUUUGUUUCUUGGUGGCCUAACCUGUCACCUGUGUUACCCACUGCUGUCCCGUUGCCUCCUAUAAACGUGGUUAAAACAGAGCAAUCAAACGUCAAAUCAAGGAAAUGCUAGAAACAGCCUUGAGUUUGAGUAUUCAAUUCAACUGGCAUAUUUGGACCAACAUUGACAUGAUCAUAAAAAAAGACUAAUGUCCAGGAAGAAAUUAGCUUGGUGAGGAAACUCUUGUCAUGGAGAAAAGUUAUAUGUGGCUGUACUCGAGCCUCCAACAAAUGAACUCUUGCUGCAGUUUUAACCGAGACGGAAUUUGAAAAUCCCCUUCCUCAGCUAUACUAUCUGAGGCAGGUGACUCCCACAAUACAACUAUCAAGCAAGUAUAAGUCAACGACAAUUGUAAUCUGGAACUCGACGAACAAGUUGCUAGAGAGGAAUUUCAGACGAUCGUCAAUGUUUAGAAAGAAGAAGAUGACUGCUCAAUACAAUUAAAUCAAAGAAGGACAAUAUGUAAGCUCUGGUGGAAGCUAUGAAAGAGUUUGGCGUUGAAGUGGAUAACGAUUUAAUUUAACUAGCGUCAAAUCUGAACCCAAAGUAGAGCCAGAAGGUACAUCUAUCACCGGCACACCAAUAUCCAACGGAACUUACUCCACAAGACUGGCAUAAUUGAGAAAAGCAGUCGACAGUCCUUAUAGGAGGAGAGACACUGUAAAUGUCAUUUGCUUAGCGAUUGAGAUUAGCGAAAGUCGUGGAUACCAUCUGUCAAUCAAUGCGUCUUGUCUACCGACCCGGAUCCCCCCUGUAUAUAUCGAUCCUCUCGAUCCUGGUUGCUUACAUCCGCCAAGUUUUUAUUGACACUAGCAAGCAAAAAGCUUCGCAACCAGAUUCUUUGCCAUUUGCAAUCGGAAUGAUCAGUUUGAGUAAGUCAACGUUUACUAGACAUUUCCAUGUAAACUUCUACGUUUGAUUUUGAAAGUGAUGAGGUAUUUCCACGCCAUUCGACCAAGGUUAAUCGAAAGUAAACAAUUCUAAGGCAUCAUGCCGAAGAUCUUUUGCCUUUCUCAUCCACGUGAUCGCUGCCGUGUCAUGAAGAUGCUUCUUUGAGAGGGUCUCUACUAUAUUGCAACCUGCAAGACAAAAAAGUGAUGAGAACAGGAAAUCUGAAUUGGUUAUAACGUUCGUACUUUUAAGACAAAUCAAGCAGAGUUCAACCUGCAGACGGGCCGGCCAGUUUGCAUGUCCUUCACGCUUGAAGGUCACGGUGAACAUUACGUGUAAAACUGUCAAUGCGACGGCGGAGAGGUUGGGUGAGAAAGGAGAGAGAAAAGGCCAGAGACAUUAGUCGAGUGAGCAUCUCCGACACGGUAACAACUGCAGCGCACUAUCUGUCACAAUCUGCCUUCUUCACCGUAUUGCCAGUUCGCAUCCAUGGGCGUCGUAUGCUGUUGGGUGUUGUAUCGUUGAUUGGUGGGUCGACCACUGGUGUAAUGAUGUCUCCUGGGUAUGGCGGAUACCAAACCGCGACGUUGCCGCCUUACUAACCAAAACUUACGCAACGACCAGUUACUGCACCGAGGUCUUAAAGUACUACACUACUAAGGCACCGGAGUUUUAUACCAUAACUUACGCUGCCCCGAGUUACUACACUUCCAAGGCGACGGAGCAUGACUACGCAUGCUGCCCCAUCCUACUACACCGAGGCUCCCAACUGCUACACCGAGGCUUCCGCUGAUUACUCCACCAAAACGGUCGAAUACGAACCCAAAGCGGUAAAGUACUACUCUGCCCCGAUCUACACAACCACAACUGAGGCGGCCAAGUAUUACGCAGUCCCGACUUACUACACAGAAGCUGCUCUUUCGUACUACGUUGAACAGAAAUACUACACUGAUCUUUCAGUUCACUACACCACGACUUACGCUACGGGAGACCUUUUACGCUGGAGUGGAUUACAGUUCAAACAGUGAUAAGCUGCUGUUGCAAAUUCAUGUCUCCGAUCCUGAUUUCGGCAUCAACGGCUCGCUCUCCUACUUUAUCCGAUCGUCCAACUUGUUUCACAUGGGCUCACAGAUUUCGUCAGGUUCAGUAGUGCCUUCACCAUUUCACGUAACCACCGACGGACGCCUUUUCACCGAAUCGCUCAUGGCCGAGUACAAUCAGGAUCGUUUUGUGCUUGAAGUAGUGGCGAGAGAGGAAGCUCCCCCAUUCCGAGAAGACACUGCCAACGUUCACCUGUGGGUCUACGAACCCAAUCAGCUGUCGAUGAUUGUCGUGGCCAAGCCUUUGGAACGGGCACUGAUAGAAAGAGAGCUGUUGGGUGACGAGCUACGUAACGCUACACAACUGCGGAUUGUCAUCGAUUAAAUGCGGCAUCACGUGGAAGACGACGGUUCUCUCAACAAGAACAAGACGGACGUCUACGUUCACGGUGUCGACCGUGGAGGCAAUAAAACCAUCGCACCAGUGUCCGAAGUAUUGCGUGCCAUCGAUUUGCCUUAUGACGUUUUACGUUCGUUUAACGACACUGCCAUCGUCAACGUCGUUUCUGCCACAGCCGCUCCCAGGAAGGCCCUACUAGAGCCGGCCAUAAUGGCCCUGAUAGCUCUCCUGGUCGUCCUUUUGGUUGGAUUCGUGAUGGUCAUUUUUACUUGCUGUUGCAUACGUAAUUGGGAUAUCGUGGCAACCAACAACCAGCACGAAUCAAGCAACAAGUCGGGCAGCUCCACUGUCAACAGAGAACUAAUGCUGUCGACGAUGCAUCGCCCCACCCCGCCUCUGUUUCGCAUUCACCCUCUGAAUUGCUCAACAGCACCGAAAAUCCUUUGUGGAUCGACAAAUACGUCAAACAUUACGAGGAACAAGAGUUGAGUAUGCGAGUGGCACCCGAUUUGGAGAGCCCAAUCCGAAUGGGAGGUGCUAGUAACAAUGCAAGUGGAGCGGAUCAAGCCAAUCCUUACGCCACGACCCAAAAACCGAGACGAGCUCUACCCUCCAUCCAUCUAGGAGAAGAAGUGGGCGAAUCCAGCGACUACGCUACUAUCGGGGGUAGUCCCAAUAACAAGUACCCUACAUCGAGAGAGACUCAAAUCAUUUUAGCGAGUCGAUCGAGCACUCCUCAUCUAAUGAUGAAUCAAAAUGGAGAACCGAUAUUGGUAGCCGAUUUGAUCUAAAGCGACCCCUUUUUAAAAUUAGAAUGCGCCUUUUUAAUUUGUUGACAAUGGCGACUAUGACACGACGAAAAUGAUAUUUGUACAUGUUUUUAGUAUUUCUCCUUCGAAUUCAUUUGUGUGACGAACUUGGUUUCAAAUCGUCGUCGUAAGUACACGCUCAAAAUUUAAGGUAUUUAAUGUUUGAAUAUAAUGGCGUUUGACAAUUUGAAAAAUGUCAAUUUAA